AAUCGUUUUGUUCUGUUUGCGGAUUAUCAGAGCGGCGGCGCGAAACCGUCUCUUGUAAGCCGCAUCCGCGGAACAGCCUCGGCAAGGAUAGCCGGGGUAAGC
rnacentral:ncRNA from 1 species